ACGGCCAUUCUUGAUUCCUCCUUUAAAUUCGGGUUUC
rnacentral:sRNA from 1 species